UCCUUCAACACCCAGAGUAACCUCCUCUGCUGAGUGGAGGGAGCACAGGGUGAAUUGAUAGGGCUGUGUUCUGCUCUGGGACUGGGGAGGUGGGGGUCUGAGGGAGGACUGUGGAGGGAGAUGAAAGCCCUCUCAGGGAGAUGCCCCAGAUGUGAGCAAAGCUGCAUUCCACAGCUGCAGGCGCGCUCCCCAAAGAGCCACCCCUGCCCUCCAAUUGUCAAAGCUAUUACUGAAGAUAGCUCUCUACCUGAGCGUAGUUCUCAGGCCGAGUGAGAAGGGGCAGUUCGUAGGCCGUGGAAAAAUGCGUCCGGACCUGCUGCAUCUGUCCGAAACGCUCUCUCUUCCUCCACUUGGCUCUGCGAUUUUGGAACCACACCUGCAAGACAGACAUCAGUUCUUAAUCAUGAGGCUAUCUCAUUACAUCUUUUCCUGGAAACAGUUCGGUGAGACCUGGCCGUUGUUUGAUGUUGUGGGAGCUGACAGACUGUGAUGGCCUCCUCUGAGUUUCUUUUCUAUCAGAGACCUCAGCAGCAGCAGGGGGCAGGGAGGAGAAAGCAGGAACCCACCGGGGCCAGAGGCCUCAGAGAACAGUGUCACUCCCCCUGUUCCUCCACCACCAUACGCUUGCUUUGAUGGAUUAGGAGUUUGCCGCUCAGCUUUUAGAAAGGAAAAGGUGAAUAGAAAAUAAAAAUUCUAUCAUUUACUCAC